rnacentral:rRNA from 1 species
UACGGGGGGGGCAAGCGUUGUUCGGAAUUACUGGGCGUAAAGGGCUCGUAGGCGGCCAACUAAGUCAGACGUGAAAUCCCUCGGCUUAACCGGGGAACUGCAUCUGAUACUGGAUGGCUUGAAUCCGGGAGAGGGAUGCAGAAUUCCAGGUGUAGCGGUGAAAUGCGCAGAUAUCAGGAAGAACACCCGUGGCUAAGGCGGUUCUCUAGUACGGUACUGACGCUGAGACGCGAAAGCGUGGGGAGCGAACAGG